UUUCGGGGUUUAGGGUUUAGAGUUGAUGUUUCAUGGUUUAUGGUUUAGAGUUGAUGAUUUAAGGUUUAAAGUUGAUGUUUUAAGUUUAGAUUUAGGGUUUACGUUUAAGGUUUAGAGUUGAUGUUUUAGAGUUUAGAUUUGAAGUUUUUGGGUUUAAGGUUUAGAGUUGAUGUUUCGGCGUUUAUGGUUUAGAGUUGAUGUUUCAUGGUUUAGGGUUUAGAGUUGAUGAUUUAGUAUUUAGAGUUGAUGUUUUAAGUCUAGAUUAGUUAACCAUAUGUUUUUUUUUUGUCAAAAGUAAUCAAACGUUAUAAAUGUAUUUUACCCUUCAUUAAAGAUGAGGAUAAAAAUGGUUAGUAUAAACAUAAAAACUGGUACUUUGAAAAUAGUAUUUUU
rnacentral:lncRNA from 1 species